rnacentral:rRNA from 1 species
UACGUAGGUGGCAAGCGUUAUCCGGAUUUACUGGGUGUAAAGGGCGUGUAGGCGGGACUGCAAGUCAGAUGUGAAAACCACGGGCUCAACCUGUGGCCUGCAUUUGAAACUGUAGUUCUUGAGUACUGGAGAGGCAGACGGAAUUCCUAGUGUAGCGGUGAAAUGCGUAGAUAUUAGGAGGAACACCGGUGGCGAAGGCGGCUUACUGGACAGAAACUGACACUGAGGCUCGAAAGCGUGGGGAGCAAACAGG